ACGCACGCUGGCGGCGUGCUUCACACAUGCCAGUCGAACGGUAAGGCCCCUUCGGGGGUACACGAGUGGCGAACGGGUGAGUAACACGUGAGCAACCUGCCCUUGACUCUGGAAUAACAGUUGGAAACAGCUGCUAAUACUGGAUAUUCAUCGUCUCCUUCCUGGGGGGUGGUGGAAAGCUCCGGCGGUCAGGGAUGGGCUCGCGGCCUAUCAGCUUGUUGGUGAGGUAAUGGCUCACCAAGGCUUCGACGGGUAGCCGGCCUGAGAGGGCGACCGGCCACACUGGGACUGAGAUACGGCCCAGACUCCUACGGGAGGCAGCAGUGGGGAAUAUUGCACAAUGGGCGCAAGCCUGAUGCAGCAACGCCGCGUGCGGGAUGACGGCCUUCGGGUUGUAAACCGCUUUCAGUAGGGACGAAGGGUGACUGACGGUACCUACAGAAGAAGGACCGGCUAACUACGUG
rnacentral:rRNA from 1 species